CACGUAGGGGCCAAGCGUUGUCCGGAUUUAUUGGGCGUAAAGAGCUCGUAGGCGGCUCGGUAAGUCGGGUGUGAAACCUCCAGGCUCAACCUGGAGACGCCACCUGAUACUGCUGUGGCUAGAGUCCGGUAGGGGAGCGUGGAAUUCCUGGUGUAGCGGUGAAAUGCGCAGAUAUCAGGAGGAACACCAGCGGCGAAGGCGGCCCUCUGGACGGUGACUGACGCUGAGACGCGAAAGCGUGGGGAGCAAACAGG
rnacentral:rRNA from 1 species